rnacentral:rRNA from 1 species
GGCCCUUCGGGGUACUCGAGUGGCGAACGGGUGAGUAACACGUGGGUGAUCUGCCCUGCACUUUGGGAUAAGCCUGGGAAACUGGGUCUAAUACCGAAUACACCCUUCUGGCUGCAUGGUCUGGUUGGGGAAAGCUUUUGCGGUGUGGGAUGGGCCCGCGGCCUAUCAGCUUGUUGGUGAGGUUACGGCUCACCAAGGCGACGACGGGUAGCCGGCCUGAGAGGGUGACCGGCCACACUGGGACUGAGAUACGGCCCAGACUCCUACGGGAGGCAGCAGUGGGGAAUAUUGCACAAUGGGCGCAAGCCUGAUGCAGCGACGCCGCGUGAGGGAUGACGGCCUUCGGGUUGUAAACCUCUUUCGCCAGGGACGAAGCGCAAGUGACGGUACCUGGAGAAGAAGGACCGGCCAACUACGUGCCAGCAGCCGCGGUAAUACGUAGGGUCCGAGCGUUGUCCGGAAUUACUGGGCGUAAAGAGCUCGUAGGUGGUUUGUCGCGUUGUUCGUGAAAACUCACAGCUCAACUGUGGGCGUGCGGGCGAUACGGGCAGACUGGAGUACUGCAGGGGAGACUGGAAUUCCUGGUGUAGCGGUGGAAUGCGCAGAUAUCAGGAGGAACACCGGUGGCGAAGGCGGGUCUCUGGGCAGUAACUGACGCUGAGGAGCGAAAGCGUGGGGAGCGAACAGGAUUAGAUACCCUGGUAGUCCACGCCGUAAACGGUGGGUACUAGGUGUGGGUUUCCUUCCUUGGGAUCCGUGCCGUAGCUAACGCAUUAAGUACCCCGCCUGGGGAGUACGGCCGCAAGGCUAAAACUCAAAGAAAUUGACGGGGGCCCGCACAAGCGGCGGAGCAUGUGGAUUAAUUCGAUGCAACGCGAAGAACCUUACCUGGGUUUGACAUGCACAGGACGUGCCUAGAGAUAGGUAUUCCCUUGUGGCCUGUGUGCAGGUGGUGCAUGGCUGUCGUCAGCUCGUGUCGUGAGAUGUUGGGUUAAGUCCCGCAACGAGCGCAACCCUUAUCUUAUGUUGCCAGCGCGUAAUGGCGGGGACUCGUGAGAGACUGCCGGGGUCAACUCGGAGGAAGGUGGGGAUGACGUCAAGUCAUCAUGCCCCUUAUGUCCAGGGCUUCACACAUGCUACAAUGGCCGGUACAAAGGGCUGCGAUGCCGUGAGGUGGAGCGAAUCCUUUCAAAGCCGGUCUCAGUUCGGAUCGGGGUCUGCAACUCGACCCCGUGAAGUCGGAGUCGCUAGUAAUCGCAGAUCAGCAACGCUGCGGUGAAUACGUUCCCGGGCCUUGUACACACCGCCCGUCACGUCAUGAAAGUCGGUAACACCCGAAGCCGGUGGCCU